AUAAAAUUAGCUUAUAAAAAUAAAAGCCUUUAAAUGUUAAUUAAAAAAAAAUAAAAAAAAUUAUUAUUUUAUA
rnacentral:tRNA from 1 species